rnacentral:misc_RNA from 1 species
AUUUUUUGCUCUACGAAGAAAACAUAUUUAUUUGUCACUAAUUUUGCCUACUCUUCCAGUUUGAGCUUGUUUGGUUGGGUUGUCUGACAUUGAGCUGAGACUUUGCUUCAGAGGGGAAGGCAUCAAGUAAUCUUGGUCUUCGAUGCCUCUUUCUUACUCAGCCUCUGCUUACCUUUGGAAGGCCGGCAAUGUUGUACGAGUGACUUGGGCGGUUUCCGCUGUCUGUGUGCGUCAAGGGUAGAGUUGCUGUGGGCAGCAUUGCUGCGAGUGAUUUUGGCGAAGGCGGUUUUGAAGGGAUGGAGGGCAAGUUUCCAUGGGCUGGCUUCCUAGCAAUUAGGUUUUGGUUUUGGGUGGCCUGUUAUGCUGUAAUAUCUUCA